GGGUGAGUCGACCCCUAAGGCGAGGCUGAAAAGCGUAGUCGAUGGGAAACAGGUUAAUAUUCCUGUACUUGGUGUUACUGCGAAGGGGGACGGAGAAGGCUAGGCUAGCCGGGCGACGGUUGUCCCGGUUUAAGCGUGUAGGGGGUGUGACCUGGUAAAUCCGGUUACAUACUAACCCUGAGGCGUGAUGACGAUGCACUACGGUGCAGAAGUAGUUGAUGCCCUGCUUCCAGGAAAAGCCUCUAAGCUCCAGGUAACAUUGAAUCGUACCCAAACGACACAGGUGGUCAGGUAGAGAAUACCAAGGCGCUUGAGAGAACUCGGGUGAAGGAACUAGGCAAAAUGGUGCCGUAACUUCGGGAGAAGGCACGCUGGCAUGUAGGUGAAGUCCCUUGCGGAUGGAGCUGAAGCCAGUCGAAGAUACCAGCUGGCUGCAACUGUUUAAUAAAAACACAGCACUGUGCAAACACGAAAGUGGACGUAUACGGUGUGACGCCUGCCCGGUGCUGGAAGGUUAAUUGAUGGGGUCAGCCGCAAGGCGAAGCUCUUGAUCGAAGCCCCAGUAAACGGCGGCCGUAACUAUAACGGUCCUAAGGUAGCGAAAUUCCUUGUCGGGUAAGUUCCGACCUGCACGAAUGGCGUAAUGAUGGCCAGGCUGUCUCCACCCGAGACUCAGUGAAAUUGAACUCGCUGUGAAGAUGCAGUGUACCCGCGGCAAGACGGAAAGACCCGUGAACCUUUACUAUAGCUUGACACUGAACAUUGAGCCUUGAUGUGUAGGAUAGGUGGGAGGCUUUGAAGCGUGGACGCCAGUCUGCGUGGAGCCAUCCUUGAAAUACCACCCUUUAAUGUUUGAUGUUCUAACUCGGCCCCGUGAUCCGGGGUGAGGACAGUGUCUGGUGGGUAGUUUGACUGGGGCGGUCUCCUCCCAAAGAGUAACGGAGGAGCACGAAGGUUAGCUAAUCACGGUCGGACAUCGUGAGGUUAGUGCAAAGGCAUAAGCUAGCUUGACUGCGAGAGUGACGGCUCGAGCAGGUACGAAAGUAGGUCUUAGUGAUCCGGUGGUUCUGAAUGGAAGGGCCAUCGCUCAACGGAUAAAAGGUACUCCGGGGAUAACAGGCUGAUACCGCCCAAGAGUUCAUAUCGACGGCGGUGUUUGGCACCUCGAUGUCGGCUCAUCACAUCCUGGGGCUGAAGUAGGUCCCAAGGGUAUGGCUGUUCGCCAUUUAAAGUGGUACGCGAGCUGGGUUUAGAACGUCGUGAGACAGUUCGGUCCCUAUCUGCCGUGGGCGUUGGAAGAUUGAGAGGGGUUGCUCCUAGUACGAGAGGACCGGAGUGAACGCACCACUGGUGUUCGGGUUGUCAUGCCAAUGGCAUUGCCCGGUAGCUAAGUGCGGAAAAGAUAAGCGCUGAAAGCAUCUAAGCGCGAAACUUGCCUCAAGAUGAGUCUUCCCUGGGCCUUUAAGGCCCCUGAAGGAACGUUUAAGACUAAGACGUUGAUAGGCUGGGUGUGUAAGUGCAGCGAUGCAUUGAGCUAACCAGUACUAAUGAUCCGUGAGGCUUAACCUUACAACACCGAAGGUGUUU
rnacentral:rRNA from 1 species